rnacentral:lncRNA from 1 species
GAAAUUGGUGCCUCUCUCUCUGUUCUUCUCUUCAACCCUGGCCUUCCUUCCAGCCAUCAUACAUCAGUAAAAGGAGUCACUGGAGAAGAGGUACAAAUCUCUGUGAUGCUCCAGGGGCCUUCAGAUAACAAGUACUUCUGGGAAGAAAUGAAAAGACCAACUGCCAGUGUUUGUUGAAGAAGGGCUGUUUUUCCUCACAUGAUGCAACAGACGGCCUUGACAGACUGAUGGGUGGGAAGGAAGAAACCUACAUCUCCAUCUACUCGGCUCCUAUUGACUCAUUCUACCAUGCCACAUCAGACUUACAUAUUCAUGUCUUUUCUUCUAAACCCUCAGCCAUCUAGAAUUGAGCUGAUUUGAAUAAACUAUGAAAACAGCAACCAAAUACAGACAAAACACAUUAUACAUUAUUGCACUCUACAGAUUCUGCAUUUUUAAAAAACAAAUUGAAGUUUCUGUAAACCUAGAUCUAUUGGUGCCAUUUUUAACAGAUGAGAUGACCUUUAGCAUUUUAUCAAUAAAGCAUUUUAACUAAGAGUAUGUGCACUGUUUUGAUAUAAUCCUAUUAUAUAGUUAAUAGGCUACAUAUAGUAUAAACUUCUACAUGCAUAUAGAAACAAUACAAAUGAUUUGCUUUAUUGUGUAUUUUGCUUGUUACAGUACAGACCUGAACAUGUAUCUCUGAAGGCCUGUACUCAAACACAACUGGCAUUUUGGGACUGUUAUGGCUUGUAUCUAGAUGUCCCCCCAAGGCCUCAUGUACUCAUAGGUGGGGCUUUGGGGCGGUGACUGGAUCAUGGGUGUGUGAUACUGGACUAGUCCACUGAUGUAUGUAUAGCGGGGUGUCAUGUUGGGAGGUGAAGCCUUGUAGGAGAUGGGUCACUAUGGGCAUGACCCAGAGGGUAUAUAUCCCUCAUCCUCUAUUGAUAUGUGCACUACAUCCUGCCUGCCUUGCCAUGGACUGUUUCUCCACAUACUGCCUUGCCUUGGGGCCAGCCGAUUAUUCACUAAAACCUACACAAACUAUGAGUUAAAAUAAAUCUUUCC